rnacentral:rRNA from 1 species
UACGGAGGGAGCGAGCGUUGUUCGGAAUUACUGGGCGUAAAGGGUGCGCAGGCGGCUAGACAAGUCGGGAGUGAAAUCCCUGGGCUCAACCCAGGAAUUGCUUUCGAAACUGUCUAGCUAGAGUCUCGGAGAGGUUGGCGGAAUUCCCAGUGUAGAGGUGAAAUUCGUAGAUAUUGGGAGGAACACCAGUGGCGAAGGCGACUACCUGGCCUGUUCUUGACGCUGAGGCGCGAAAGCUAGGGGAGCAAACGGG